AGGGUAUGGCUGUUCGCCAUUUAAAGUGGUACGCGAGCUGGGUUUAGAACGUCGUGAGACAGUUCGGUCCCUAUCUGCCGUGGGCGUUUGAGAAUUGAAAGGGGCUGCUCCUAGUACGAGAGGACCGGAGUGGACGAACCUCUGGUGUUCGGGUUGUCAUGCCAAUGGCAUUGCCCGGUAGCUAAGUUCGGAACUGAUAACCGCUGAAAGCAUCUAAGCGGGAAGCAGGCCUUGAGAUGAGUUCUCACUGGGACUUUAAGUCCCCUAAAGGGUUGUUGAAGACUACGACGUUGAUAGGCAGGGUGUGGAAGCGUUGUGAGGCGUUGAGCUAACCUGUACUAAUUGCCCGUGAGGCUUAACCAUACAACCCCUAAGAAGUU
rnacentral:rRNA from 1 species